rnacentral:rRNA from 1 species
AUUCCAGCUCCAAUAGCGUAUAUUAAUGUUGUUGCAGUUAAAAAGCUCGUAGUUGGAUUUCUGAUGGGAUCGACCCGGUCGGCUCCGAAAGGGGUCGCACUGGUGGUCUGUCCGGUCAUCCUCGAGGGGAGGCUUUCUGGCAUUCAUUUGUUGGGGAGUCGACGCUCGUCGUUUACUGUGAACAAAUUAGAGUGUUCAAAGCAGGCUUAGGCCGUUGAAUACAUUAGCAUGGAAUAAUAAGAUAGGACUUUGGUGGUUUAUUUUGUUGGUUUGCGAGUCGGAGUAAUGAUUAAUAGGGACAGUUGGGGGUAUUCGUAUUUCAUUGUCAGAGGUGAAAUUCUUGGAUUUCUGAAAGACGAACUACUGCGAAAGCAUUUACCAAGGAUGUUUUCAUUA